CAUCCGAGCUCUCUUACUAAGCUCCGGAGGCUUCGCGAAAGUAAACGUCGGCGCGCGAGUCGAUACGAUGGCAAACCCUAGGAGGUGGAGGACGCCCUCUGUCGACGAUUCCUCCCCGCCGAUUUAUGCCUAGGUGCCCGCCAGUAGCCCGUCCGAUCGUAUCCGUCCGAUUUUUAUGGCGCGAAACGAGAUAGACGGCGGGCACAUUGAGCGUACGGGCUAGUACCCGAAAGAUGGUGAUCUAUGCUUGUUUAGGACGAAGCCGGGGGAAACGCCGGUGGAGGUCCGUUGCGAUUCUGACGUGCAAAUCGAUCGUCGGAGCUGAGUAUAGGGGCGAAAGACCAAUCGAACCGUCUAGUAGCUGGUUCCUUCCGAA
rnacentral:rRNA from 1 species